rnacentral:lncRNA from 1 species
AUUUAAAUGAUUUAAUAAAAUCCUAUUAUGACAUCAUCGCGAUGUCAUGCUGACAUCAACAUUUGACUGGUCAACUGACCAGCGGGUCCCGAACGUCAUAGGCACAAGUUUUAUUUAAGAUUAAUUUAGUGGGGGACCCACGUGUCAUACUCUAAUUAUUCUAAUUAAUUAAUUUAACUAAUAUAUCUAUUUAUUUAAUAAAAACAUUAUUUUUAUUUUUAUUUUAACUAUCGCGUGGGGCCUCCCUGUCAUAGACAGCGGGUGCAUUGGCCCCACCGGUAAGUGACCCUAGGCCAAAAACACAUUUUUAAUCGCAAAUACAUAACCAUACAAAUGUCGUAUUCCUCCAAUAUCUAUAUACGCAAUAC